UGUAGCCUGUUAUCUUCCAUCAUAGAGCUGGUGGUUGCAGAUGUGGCUCCGGUGACAAAAAUAUAGACCUGCUGCUGCUUGAGUCAUUUAAACAUUGCAGAGCGAACACAGAGUGGAACAUAAAGUACCUUCAUGUGGAUAAACUCUAUUGUAGAUAUGGCCGUACAGAACACCUUGUGCAUCAAACGACAAAGAAUAAUCCAAAGGAAGAUCUUUAAUUGCAGCAGCAUGGUGGCCUGUGAGUGUAUCUGAAAAGCAAUGAAGCGGCAGUAAAGCUCCGGUCCGGAAUUAAUUUUGCUUGCGGAGCGCAGCAGUUGUGCGGAGUAGUGCAACAACACAAGGGAGUGUUGGUUUGCAUCUGCAAAUUUAUAAACUGGAGGACAGGAGGACGAUUCCAUUGUGUUGCUGUGAUCAGGAAGAGAAAACAAAGCCUCACGAGGGGAUGGGAGAGAACAAAAUGUAAUCAAUGUAAUCACAGAGCUAUAGUCAGUGUUACUGUAAUCUCCGCCUCCUGAUCAAUUACAGCAAGCUGUGCUUCAUAAACUCUGAUCCGACAAGAAAAAAGGCAAGUCUAAUAAACUGCCUAGUGAAAGCA